rnacentral:rRNA from 1 species
CCAGCCAUGCGCGUGAGUGAGAAGGCCUUCGGGUUGUAAAGCUCUUUUGUCAAGGGAAGAAAGCUUAGGCACUAAUACUGCUUGGGGAUGACGGUACCUGAAGAAUAAGCACCGGCUAACUACGUGCCAGCAGCCGCGGUAAUACGUAGGGUGCAAGCGUUAAUCGGAAUUACUGGGCGUAAAGAGUGCGUAGGCGGUUUGUUAAGACAGCUGUGAAAUCCCCGGGCUUAACCUGGGAACUGCGGUUGUGACUGGCAGGCUAGAGUGUAGCAGAGGAAGAUGGAAUUCCACGUGUAGCAGUGAAAUGCGUAGAGAUGUGGAGGAACACCAAUGGCGAAGGCAAUCUCCUGGGUUAACACUGACGCUGAGGCACGAAAGCGUGGGGAGCAAACAGGAUUAGAUACCCUGGUAGUCCACGCCCUAAACGAUGUCAACUAGUUGUUGGGGGAAGCUAUCCCUUAGUAACGAAGCUAACGCGUGAAGUUGACCGCCUGGGGAGUACGGUCGCAAGAUUAAAACUCAAAGGAAUUGACGGG